rnacentral:rRNA from 1 species
AGCUCGUAGGCGGCUUGUCACGUCGGGUGUGAAAGCCCGGGGCUUAACCCCGGGUCUGCAUCCGAUACGGGCAGGCUAGAGUGUGGUAGGGGAGAUCGGAAUUCCUGGUGUAGCGGUGAAAGGCGCAGAUAUCAGGAGGAACACCGGUGGCGAAGGCGGAUCCCUGGGCCAUUACCCACGCUGAGGAGCGAAAGCGUGGGGAGCGAACAGGAUUAGAUACCCUGGUAGUCCACGCCGUAAACGUUGGGGGCUAGGUGUUGGCGACAUUCCACGUCGUCGGUGCCGCAGCUAACGCAUUAAGCUUCCCGCCUGGGGGGUGCGGCCGCAAAGCUAAAACUCAAAGGAAGUGACGGGGGCCCGCACAAGCAGCGGGGCAUGUGGCUUAAUUCGACGCAACGCGAAGAACCUUACCAAGGCUUGACAUAUACCGGAAAGCAUCAGAGAUAAUUCACCCCUUGUGGUCGGUAUACAGGUGGUGCAUGGCUGUCGUCAGCUCGUGUCGUGAGAUGCUGGGUCAACUCCCGCAACGAGCGCAACCCUUGUCCUGUGUUGCCAGCAUGCCCUUCGGGGUGAUGGGGACUCACAGGAGACCGCCGGGGUCAACUCGGAGGAAGGUGGGGACGACGUCAAGUCAUCAUGCCCCUUAUGUCUUGGGCUGCACACGUGCUACAAUGGCCGGUACAAAGAGCUGCGAUGCCGUGAGGCGGAGCGAAUCUCAAAAAGCCGGUCUCAGUUCGGAUUGGGGUCUGCAACUCGACCCCAUGAAGUCGGA